rnacentral:lncRNA from 1 species
CAGAACAUUACUAAAGGCUUAUUUACAUCAUGUCCAGCUGUCAAGAAAAAAUUACAAGACAUACUAAAAGGCAAAAAACAGUUUGAAGAGAAAGCACACUACAGAACCAGAUUCAGAUAUGGCAGAGAUUUUGAAAUUAUCAGCCUUGGAAUUUAAAACAACUAUGGUUAAAAUACUAAGGGCUCUAAUGGAUAAAAUAGACAGCAUGCAAGAACAGAUGGGCAAUGUAAGCAGAGAGUUGGAAAUUCUAAGAAAGAACCAAAAAGAAAUGCUGGAGAUCAAAAACACUGCCUUUUUGAGGAAUGACUACGAUGGGCUUAUUUGUAGACUGGACAUGACUGAGGAAAGAAUCUCUAGGCUUAGAGAUAGGGUAACAGAAACCUCCAAAAUUGAAAAAGCAGAAUGAAAAGGCAUUACAGAAUAUGCAAGAACUGUGGGACAACUACAAAAGAUCUAAUAUAUAUGUAAUAAAAAUUGCAGAAGGAGAAAAAAGAAAUAAAGGACCAGGAGAAAUAUUUGAAACAAUAAUGACUGAGAAUUUCCCCCAAAGUUACAACAGAUACCAAACCACAUAUCUAGUACAUUCAGAGAACACUAAGGAUAAAUGGCCAAAGAAACUACACCUAGUCACAUCACUUUCAAACCAAAGAAAAUCAAAGAUAAAGAAAAAAUCCUGAAAGAAGCCAGAGGAAAAAAAUACCUUACAUAGGAGCAAAAAAUAAUAAUUACAUUUGAUUUCUCCUCAGAAAUCAUGCAAGAGUACAGUGAAAUAUGUAAAAUGUUGACAGAAAAAAAAUCUACCUAGAAUUAUGUACCCCAUGAAAUUAUCCUUCAAAAGUUAAGGAGAAAUAAAGACUUUCUCAAGCAAACAAAAAUUGAGGAAAUUUGUUGCGAGCAGACCUGCCUUUUGAGAUACGUUAGAUGUUCUUUAGGGAGAGGUAAAAUGAUAUAGGUCAGAAACUCUAAUCUACUUAAAGAAAAGAACAUCAGAGAAGGAAUAGGAGAAGUAAAAUGUUUUUACCUUAUUAAUUUUAUUUUCUUUAUUCUUAAUUGGUCUAAAAGACAACAAUUUGUUCUAAGUAACAAUACCA